CACAGGUGGGAUUGCGUUUUGAAAUAUUGAAUAGGCAUUAAGUGUGAUUAGGUGGCUAAAACAUGCUAGAGCUAUAAAAGGAGAGUUAGAGGAAUAACCAAAGGAAGGAUGAAAUCUAUAGAUAUUGGUUGGAACAUCAGAAGCGACAGCAUCACUCUAUUUUAUAACUGACACUGAUUCACUAAAGUCUGGGUAGCAAACAGG
rnacentral:rRNA from 1 species